GGCGGGCGGGCGCGGCUCCGGGCGGUGCGCUGUCCCCGCGGCCCUGCUCGAGGCCCGGGCCGCCGGGACCCAGCUCGCAGGCCCCAGGAGCCCACUGUCCUCCGCGUGGGAAAGUCCUAGACCAGGUGGCCUAAUGACGGAUUCUGCAGAAGUGAAAGGCAAAAAGGGCCCUGGGACAGAGCCCGCACAGGAGCCCUCAGCGUCCAGCCGCUGCUGUCCGAGCAAUGCUGGAAGAGCCUCCGGGCCUCCCUGAGCCCCACGUGCCCGGCUCCGCUGCAAGCAAAAAAUAUUAGAGCUGAUCCCAAGUUACUUCAAAUGUGAAACAAGCCAAAUCAGAAAAAGAGCAGUUUGGAGAGAGAGAUGUCGCUGGUUAAGACCGGGCAGAAGUUUACGGUCAAGGCGGCUUGCCAGGGCCUUACGGAGCAUCGACCGGAGCCCCCUGGGCUGUGUGGCGGCCUGCAUGAGUUGCCUGGUUGACGUGGACCGUCUCCAGCGGCUUCAGUCGUUUCCCGCUCCGUGCGACCCUAUGGACUGUAGCCCGCCAGGAUUUUCCUGGCAAGAAUGCUGGAGUGGGUUGUUAAGCCCUC